UACGUAGGGGGCUAGCGUUGUCCGGAUUUAUUGGGCGUAAAGCGCGUGUAGGCGGCCAGAUAGGUCUGCUGUGAAAACUCGAGGCUCAACCUCGAGCUGUCGGCGGAAACCAUCCGGCUAGAGUCCGGAAGAGGAGAGUGGAAUUCCCGGUGUAGCGGUGAAAUGCGCAGAUAUCAGGAAGAACACCCGUGGCGAAAGCGGCUCUCUGGGACGGUACUGACGCUGAGACGCGAAAGCGUGGGGAGCGAACAGG
rnacentral:rRNA from 1 species